rnacentral:rRNA from 1 species
GACGAACGCUGGCGGCGUGCUUAACACAUGCAAGUCGAACGGAAAGGCCCUGCUUUUGUGGGGUGCUCGAGUGGCGAACGGGUGAGUAACACGUGAGUAACCUGCCCUUGACUUUGGGAUAACUUUAGGAAACUGGGGCUAAUACCGGAUAGGAGCUCCUGCUGCAUGGUGGGGGUUGGAAAGUUUCGGCGGUUGGGGAUGGACUCGCAGCUUAUCAGCUUGUUAGUGGGGUAGUGGCGUACCAAGGCUUUGACGGGUAGCCGGCCUGAGAGGGUGACCGGCCACAUUGGGACUGAGAUACGGCCCAGACUGCUACGGGAGGCAGCAGUGGGGAAUAUUGCACAAUGGGCGGAAGCCUGAUGCAGCAACGCCGCGUGCGGGAUGACGGCCUUCGGGUUGUAAACCGCUGUCGCCUGUGACGAAGCGUGAGUGACGGUAAUUGGUAAAGAAGCACCGGCUAACUACGUG